UUUCAUGACUUUUCCAAAAUCGGCCGUCGAUAACGGCUUCAUAGAAUUUCUUAUGCAAUACAUACUGAAAACAAAAACUCAUCGAAUGGGAAAACAUUGACAAUUAAACGAGUAAAAUAUCGCGAGAGAUAAGUCACUGUUGAGCAGAAAUCGGCUUGAAAUCGGUCAAGUGACUUGUGGUUGCAAGGAUGCACAAAAUUCCAAAUUUCUCCCCUCCGCAUUCUGUAAUCACGGCGGCGAACCUACUUGUAUUCGUCGUACACUUCUUGCUUCGCGAUUUCCUAAUGGAUUCAGCGGCUGCCUCAACGGAUCUACGAUCCCACUCGGGUUUCUCAGCAGC